rnacentral:misc_RNA from 1 species
CGAAUGAUGAGUACCGGAAAACGGUGGAGAAAGCCGAGGAGUUCUUCUUCUCAUUUGCAACACAAUUAGGAAGGUACGUUAUCACAAUGAUGGGAACGGGUGUUAUACUUGUGGUCGGAUUCCAGUUGUCAGGAGGUAACAGUCAGUUGAAUGAGCUGAUUUGGUAUAGCUGGCUAGGCGGGAUUAUUAUUGGGACGAUGAUUGGGGCUAAUAUGGUUUUGGAUGAGCAUAGUAGAGCGGGGCCUCGCAAUGUCGUCAUAACUGGAAGCACAAGGGGUUUAGGAAAAGCACUUGCUCGUGAAUUUCUUCUGUCGGGGGACCGUGUUGUGGUUGCUUCACGCAGCCCUGAGUCGGUUCAUUCGACGGUGGAGGAACUCAAAGAAAACCUGAAGGAGGGUAUGGCGAUGGCUGGAACCAAGGGCAUAGACAAAUUUGCUCAUGCUAAGGUUGUUGGUAUUGCAUGCGAUGUUUGCAACCCUGAGGAUGUGAGGAAGUUGGCCAACUUUGCCGUUG